ensembl:lncRNA
GUUCCUUAAUCCCUGUCCUUUUAAAAAAACAGCACCUCAUUACAUCGGGAAAAAAAAGGCACUUUUAAGAGCCACAUUUGUUUUGUUUAUUGUCUUAUUUGUAUUGUUUAUUGUCUUGUUAUCUCUCUCUCUCUCUCUCUCUCUCACACACUCUCUCUCCAUCCCUCUCUCCCUCUCUCUCUCUCUCUCUCUCUCUCUCUUUCUCUCACUCUCUUUCCAUCCCUCUCUCCCUCUCUCUCUCCCCUACCAUCUGAGUGGUGGUUGCUUUUUAGAGGGACGGAGGACCUGGGUUGCUGCCUCUUCUUCACUCACUGUAAUCAACUGAAAGUGUAAAGAAUGACAAAGCCAAAAUUCAGGCCUUGCCCAAGCUGCCAAGUCCGUCAGCAGGCCAACCGCAAAACAUGCAGUGCUUGUUUUGCCACACUGCCAAGCAAGCGGUUAUUAAAAACUGCAAAAAUUAAUGAUGACUGGGGCCAGAGGGUCGUCAAAAACAAAAAUGCAUCUCGGGUGGUGGCCUCUGCCCAAAUAGCUGUCCAAAAACUUUCUGCCUUGGGCUAUAUGCCCAUAUUAUUUAUCAGCCAGAGGCACAAGGGCACAGGCAAGUUGAUGGCAGAUGUAGUCACGCAUCUGCCACCGACGCAAAACAACACACGUUUCUUAACCAGCAUGAAGAGGGCAUAUGACUUCAUAAUCAAACUGGAUGAUGUGCCCCAGCCCCAGCCCCAGCAAGACCAGCCCCUGCCCCUAGACCGGCUAAUCCCACAAGACCAGCCCCUAGACCAGCCCCUGCCCCUAGACCAGCCCCAGCAAGACCAGCCCCUGCCCCUAGACCAGCUAAUCCCACAAGACCAGCCUACCCCAACAGACCAGCAAAUUAUUACACUUGAACUAUUUACGAUCGACUCUCAGGCUCAGCAGCAUGUGGAGCCUCUACCACCCAGGAAAAGACAAACCCCACUAUCCACCCCGCGCCUACCAUCCACCCCAGGCCAAGGCAGACGAGCCCCACCAUCCAUCCAACCUCAACUAACAGAAAAGACAAACCACAGGUAAAGGAGCCACACAGGCCCCACCCUCUACCCUGGCCAAAAAAAGAAGAAAACAAAAAAAGCAAGUAGACAUUCUUUGAACCCCAUGUGUAUAUUUGUUUCUAUUCUUUGCACCCCAUGUGUAUAUCAGCAGCCAUGUGUUGGGUGUAAAGGUGUUUUUGCAUGUAGCCCCCUUUAAUUGGACCAAACUCAGGGUGUAUUCACACUUGGUCUUUGUCAGCCCUCAAAGUGAACUAAGAACAGUGACUCAUAUAUGAACACCUCAAGCAAACUCAGACCCAUUUGAAAUGAACCAAACUUUUUUUUGCCUUUGUCAUUUAAGGUUGCAAAUGCAGUCGACAGACAAUUUAUCCAUACGAUAAAAAUAUUGGGAAGACGGAUGAAUGGGGUAAGAUGUAGAACCAUAUUUUCCAUUAGGCUGUCUGAUUAUCUCUUGACUCAUGUCUGUCUCAUCUUUCAAUCCACAUGUGACAAAACAGUAACACUGAGCAGUAGGUAUCAAACUUUUUCAACUAUCAACCCUCUCACAAGUGCUACCCCUUACGAAAAAAAAGUAUACUUCAAGUUAAUUUUAUGAAGUAUACUUAAGUAAUGUUCAAGUAUAUUUUUAAGUAUACUUUAUGUAGUAAGUAUACUAGUAUCAAUGUGUACUUGUAGUAGACUUGUAAGUGUACUAUUUCAAUACUGCUUGGGGCUAAAUUGGCCCACUUUUAGUAUAAAAGUAUACGUUUAAGUGUACUAAAAGUGUACACAACUAGGUUUCUCAUUUUU